rnacentral:rRNA from 1 species
AUGAGCAGCCCCUCCGCCGCCGCAUCGUCGCCGGCGCCCGCGCUGGACGGCGGCGUCAUCCUCGAAGAGAUCCUCGAGGAGAUCCUCCUCCGCCUCCCCCCGCAGCCGUCCUCCCUUCCGCGCGCAUCCCUCGUGUGCACGCGCUGGCGCCGCAUCCUCUCCAGCCCCGGCUUCCUCAGCCGCUUCCGCGAGCACCACGGCCGGAACAACCCACCGCCGCUGCUCGGCUUCUUCGACGAGGAAUUCCGCAGAGACAAGCGGCCCAUCUUCAAGCCCACGACGAUGGGCCGGUGGGACCGCAUCCCGCCCGCGCGCUUCUCGGCGCCAUGGAUUCGCGGCGAGGGCUGGGCGUUUCUCGGCUGCCGCCAUGGCCUGGCCCUCCUCAUCUGCCAGAAGCGCCGCGAGGCCGUUGUGUGGGACCCCCUCACCGGCCACCAGCGCCGCCUUGCGUUUCCACCAGGGUUCUGCAGGAAAAAGGGGAGGUUCGUCCAGAACGCGGCGGUGAUGUGCGCCGCCGCCGUCGAAGACGGGCAUGUGCAGGGUGACUGCCGCUUCACCCCAUUUAGAUUGGCCUUGGUAGGCAGCGAUUCUGACGGCACACACAAGUUUGCUUGCCUCUAUGAGUCGGAGUCCGGUGUGUGGGGGGAUGUUGUCUCACUAGAGACCACACGUUCGACAUGUGUAUGUGUUGCAAAACCCAGCGUCCUGGUUAGAAAUUCAUUUUGCUGGCUGGUUUCUGGAGGUGGCAUCCUCGAGUUUGAUUUUGAAAGCCAGCGCCUUGUGAUGAUCCAGAAGCCGGCAGACGUUAAUGUUGCAGACUACCACUGGUCCUUUCUCGUUGUACGGACACAGCACAGCGGUCUGGGCCUUGCUGUUUUUUCCGAGCCAGAUUAUCAGAGCGGUAUCAUCCAAUUAUGGGAGAGAAAAUCUAACCGUGAUGGUGUUGUUGGAUGGGAACUGCAGAAAACCAUUCAGCUAGAUGGGCUCUUUUCAUUUGGACUGACCGGGGGGCCAAAUGCGUUUAAGAUGCAGGGGUAUGAUGAGGACAGCAAUGCGAUUUUGCUAUCAACGUUUUACGGUGAAUACAUGCUCCAGCUUGAGUCCAUGCAGUUUAUAAAUCUUAUCGAACACCAGAGCGGUUGCAUUUUUACCAGGACCUAUUAUCCGUACAGAAAUUUCUAUGUUAUAGGCAGCGGAAUUGGUGGUCGAGAUGGUGGAGCUGAAAUAUCAAUGCAUUAG